rnacentral:rRNA from 1 species
AACGAACGCUGGCGGCGCGCCUAAUACAUGCAAGUCGAGCGAGAAGGUGUAGCAAUACACUUGUAAAGCGGCGAACGGGUGAGGAAUACAUGGGUAAUCUACCAUCGAGUGGGGAAUAACCAACCGAAAGGUUGGCUAAUACCGCGUACGCCUCCGGAUCUUCGGGUUCGGAGGGAAAGCUGCACUGUGAGUGUAGCGCUCUUUGAUGAGCUCAUGUCCUAUCAGCUUGUUGGUAGGGUAACGGCCUACCAAGGCUUUGACGGGUAGCUGGUCUGAGAGGACGAUCAGCCACACUGGCACUGCGACACGGGCCAGACUCCUACGGGAGGCAGCAGUAAGGAAUAUUGCGCAAUGGGCGAAAGCCUGACGCAGCGACGCCGCGUGGGGGAUGAAGGUCUUCGGAUUGUAAACCCCUUUCGGAGGGAAGAUGGAACGAGCAAUCGUUCGGACGGUACCUCCAGAAGCAGCCACGGCCAACUUCGUGCCAGCAGCC